rnacentral:misc_RNA from 1 species
AAGACUAUAGACCUGCGGAGUACCUGCGGAAGGAUCAUUAUUGAAUUAUGUUUCUAAAUGGGUUGUAGCUGGCUCGUCAGAGCAUGUUCACGCCUGUUUGGACUUCAUUUUCAUCCACCUGUGCACCUAUUGUAGUCUUUGGUUGGGUAUCAAGGAAGUGGUCAGCCUAUCAGCACUUGCUGGAUGUGAGGACUUGCAGUGUGAAAGCUUUGCUGUCCUUUACUUGAUCAUGGAGUUGUU